AGAAAACUCCGCAUGAAAACCUUUAUGGCACACGAUUGCCUUAUGUUCUCUUUGGUCAUGUAAACAAAUACUGUUUCAGUUAUUUUAGUGGUUAUUUUGUACAUUGAUUUUCCAGAUUAUGCAGCUGACUCAUACAUGCAAGGACUGAGCUGACAUGGGUAUGAUUUGAUCUCAGUGAGUGCCAGCCCCCCACUCCCAUCCCACUGUGAUUUGGAAUUGGGUAAGUGGAAGAGAAUGGAAGGAUGCAUGGAUAGAUGGAGCGUCUACAGUCAGGGGUUAAAGUAGGCCGGAACUAUCUGGAACGGCACCUUCAGCACAUUUGGUGUUUCCCCAUCUUUGUGUAACACAGUCAGAGGGAAUGCAGCUGGUGCCCUCUGUUGUCCAAGUCUCCGCUGCUCAGUCGUCUCUCCAUCCCGGCCUGGCUUUGCCUCGCUCGCCCACCCUCGCACAUGGAUGACAUUCUUCAGAGAUGUUAGGAGGUAGUGUCGGUGCUGUAUAGUCACCAAGCUAGCUAGACCUCCCGAGGCCACCGACACCAGCCGGAUCUCACCCUCAGCCUGUUUUUCUUUCCAAUGGGGAGGCGAAUACAUUUGAGAGGGGCAGGAAGGAGAGCCUGUCAUGGCCUCUUCAGUCUGGGUCUGUGAUCGGCAUGUGUGUGUCUCUCCCAUGCCCCGGUGUCAUCUGUAUUUUUCUUUUUGGCUGCCUGACUUCAAGCUUCAAGAUUCUCAAAGUCCCUUGGUGGAUCUUCAGGAUGCUGGAGCUGCAGGCUGACAAAUUUGGUGUAAAGUUGUUGAAGAAAGGUCCGGGUGAAAAAUAAAUUGAUGCUCGGCUUUUGCAAACUCAAGUGUGUGUGUGUGUGUGUGUGUGUGUGUGUGUGUGUGUGUGGGAGGAUGUGUAUGCUCAAGUGAGGUCUGGCUAUGUGUGGGUGGCUCAGCUGAGGGUUGAGUGGUUGGGCGAGAUGACAGUAAUAAAUUAAUUCACUUUAGGACCUAGCGACUGGAUCAUCAAUCAUGU